rnacentral:rRNA from 1 species
AUUGAACGCUGGCGGCAGGCCUAACACAUGCAAGUCGAACGAGUGGCGGACGGGUGAGUAAUGACUGGGAAACUGCCUGAUGGAGGGGGAUAACUACUGGAAACGGUAGCUAAUACCGCAUACCAUCGGAUGUGCCCAGAUGGGAUUAGCGAGUAGGUGGGGUAAAGGCUCACCUAGGCGACGAUCCCUAGCUGGUCUGAGAGGAGGACCAGCCACACUGGAACUGAGCCACGGUCCAGACUCCGACGGGAGGCAGCAGUGGGGAAGAUUGCACAAUGGGCGCAAGCCUGAUGUAGCCAUGCCGCGUGUAUGAAGAAGGCCUUAGGGUUGUAAAGUACUUUCAGCUGCGAGGCGUUCCCCGCAGAAGAAGCACCGGCUAACUCCGUGCCAGCAGCCGCGGUAAUAC